GCACUGUAGGUGCUGGGGAUCCCAGCUGGACCCUCAGGACUACCGCACGCCCUUGCCCACUGAGCCACCCUCCCCAGCCCCCAUCUCGCCGACCUCUAGAGCGUGAAGGAUAAGCGAACAUCUUUCAGAAUGCCCUGCUCGUAGACUGAGGAUCAUUUUUCAAAGCUGAAGACUGAAGGUCAUGAGCAAGUUCUCGGAGCUCCCCAGCCAGCGCUCCUGGCUCGGUCGGUCGCUGCAGCUGUGCACCGCCAUUGUUUGGGGCUGUGAGGUGCUAAGGACCUAAUGUUACUUCGAAACUUGUGGAGAAGAGCGCUCGUGAGAUGGACCAGUGUGGAUCAGACAGACACUUGACACCAAGCCCGACAACCAGAAUAAAUUGGAUCCCCGGGGCCUACACGAUGGAAGGAGAGAACUGACUUCUACACGCAUGCAUACGUGUUCCAUUCCUUCUACCAGACAGACGGAUGGACGGACAGACAGACAUGCGUAACCUUAAACAUUACGGGUCUCUAGCCUCUGCUUUGCAGCUGUUCUCCUACCGCAGACACGGGCAGGCUUCCCCACCUCUAGCUCAUACUGGAAGGAUCUUGGGGUUCAGGUGCACAUGUGUGUGGAGACCAGAAGACAACCUCUGCUGUCAUUCCCCAGAUGAGCAGACCGGCUAGCAAGCCCCACAGAUCUGCAUGAUUCCUCCUCUCCAGAGACAAGCUUACAACAGAAAGCUGCCAUCUCUUCCUAAAAUGAAAACAGAAAGCAAAAAUCAAACACGCGGCUUCUGCGAUCUAACUCAGGUGGAUGCCCGUGCUUGUCUGUAAGCAGUUUCCUGACGGAGCCAUCUCUUCAGCUUGCAAAGGGACCGCCUCAGAAUCUGGCCGUCUUUCCCGAUGGAUCCCCAUGUCCCUCUGAUGAUGUACACUCUGUGGUAAGGGACAGGGGACCCUGUAGUCCCGAGUUCCAUCUCCCAUUGUGCUUUGCCUCGCCGGGUGUAGCACAGCCCGCCACCCCCUCCACUGCUUUCCCUGGACUCCAGGUCUCCACACUGUUCCGAAUCCUCUCUGCGCUCUCUCUCUC